UACGUAGGGGGGCAAGCGUUGUCCGGAAUUAUUGGGCGUAAAGCGCGCGCAGGCGGCCUUGUAAGUCUGUUGUUUAAACUCGGGGCUCAACCCCGAGUCGCAAUGGAAACUGCAAAGCUUGAGUACAGAAGAGGAAAGUGGAAUUCCACGUGUAGCGGUGAAAUGCGUAGAGAUGUGGAGGAACACCAGUGGCGAAGGCGACUUUCUGGGCUGUAACUGACGCUGAGGCGCGAAAGCGUGGGGAGCAAACAGG
rnacentral:rRNA from 1 species